ACAGUCCUGUUUAAGCUCCUGUGCAAGCAUGUCUUUCAGGUGUUUUCUUCUCCUCGUGUCUCUUAUUGGUAGCAGUUUAGGAGAUGAGAUUAAACCAACAAAAUCAGAAGAGAAAGCAGUGACAGGAGAAAAUGUGAUGCUGUCUUGCAACUACACAGUGUCAGCCUACAGUCUGCAGUGGUAUCGCCAGUAUCCCAGAUCAGCUCCACAGUUCCUGCUGCUCAUCACUGACUCCUCUGAGCCCCUAGUGGAGGAGGCUGAUCCACCACAUCCAAACCUGUCUGUCACACUGAAUGAGGAGAGAAACCAAGUGUUCCUGCAGAUCUCCUCAGCUGAAGUCUCAGACUCUGCUCUCUACUACUGCGCCCUGCAGCCCACAGUGACAGGAAACCCAACUUCACGGUACAAAAACCUGCCAGAUGAAAAUAAACUAACCUGA